rnacentral:tRNA from 1 species
GGGUCAGUGGUCUAGCGGUAUGACGCCGCCCUUACAAGGCGGAAGCCGGAGGUUCGAUCCCUCCCUGACCCA